CACGUAGGGUGCGAGCGUUGUCCGGAAUUACUGGGCGUAAAGAGCUCGUAGGUGGUUUGUCGCGUUGUUCGUGAAAUCUCACGGCUUAACUGUGAGCGUGCGGGCGAUACGGGCAGACUGGAGUACUGCAGGGGAGACUGGAAUUCCUGGUGUAGCGGUGAAAAUGCGUAGAUUAUCAGGGAAGAACACCCCGUGGCGAAAGGCGGCUCUCUGGGAAACGCAAACUGACGCUGAGACGCGAAAAAGCGUGGGGGGAGCGAAACAGGAUUAGAAAA
rnacentral:rRNA from 1 species